GACGAACGCUGGCGGCGUGCCUAAUACAUGCAAGUAGAACGCUGAAGGAGGAGCUUGCUUCUCUGGAUGAGUUGCGAACGGGUGAGUAACGCGUAGGUAACCUGCCUGGUAGCGGGGGAUAACUAUUGGAAACGAUAGCUAAUACCGCAUAAUAUUUACUAUUGCAUGAUAUUCAGUUGAAAGGUGCAACUGCACCACUACCAGAUGGACCUGCGUUGUAUUAUCUAGUUGGUGGGGUAAAGGCUCACCAAGGCGACGAUACAUAGCCGACCUGAGAGGGGGAUCGGCCAAACUGGGACUGAGACACGGCCCAGAAUCCUACGGGAGGCAGCAGUAGGGAAUCUUCGGCAAUGGACGGAAGGCUGACCGAGCAACGCCGCGUGAGUGAAGAAGGUUUUCGGAUCGUAAAGCUCUGUUGUAAGAGAAGAACGAGUGUGAGAGUGGAAAGCUCACACUGUGACGGUAUCUUACCAGAAAGGGACGGCUAACUACGUG
rnacentral:rRNA from 1 species